CCAAAUUCCAAUUUCCCACCCCUAUAAUAUUUUGCCCAAUUCCAAAUUUUCCACUGCUGAGAAAUUUACACCUUCCGAAAUUCCCUCUACUGUUUCACCGCCAUCGCGAUACAAAUUCCUCUAAUGGAUCCUAUCGACUCUAAAUAUAGAUCCUAUUAGGGAUCAUUUUUGCCUAAUUUCAAAAAAUGCCUUCGACUAGAGAGAUUGCUCUGCUACAUCUCUUUCUCCAGCGAACUCAUUCGGCAAAAUCAAUGUUAUAAAUUGUAGGUUUGUUUCCUUUUCACUCAAUGUCUUGAGCAUAAACUUGUACUACUCUGGUACUUUCUAAUCACUAUUUUGUUCAUUGGUUUGCUGCUUGUGUUUAGAAUGCAAUACUGGUUAACUCGUUCAGUGCUAGUCGCUGCGAUUUCCUCUUCCUUCAUGGUUAGUUUCCAGUAAAGUGUUAGUGUAUCUCAUAUUUACAUUCUAUUUCUUAUUUUUGAGAUAUAGGUCAGCCAUAGCUAGUCAUAAGCAUGCUAAUUUUGGUUGUUGUUGUUGUGAGUUUACUGAUUCGGACAAUGUUAUUACUCUUCUGCCAAAAACUUUAAGAUUUGUUAUGUUAGUGUAUCAUUUUUUAUAUUGUGUUCAAUAAGUCUUAAAUUUGGCUUAUAGGAGUGCGUAGGUGAAGAAGAAGGCAGUAGUUGCUCAACGACCCCAAGAGGCGCAAGGUACUUGAACUGCUUUCAAUUUUGUGGAUGCUUUUAAAUUCUAGUAAGAUAAAACUCUGCCUGUAUAAGUACGUGAUUUUAAUUUUCAAAUUCCUAUAUUACUUGCAUUCACAAAGUCUUUGAGUUGUAUUUCUUUUAUUCACAUCUUGCAUUUGUAUACUUGUAUGAAUAGAACGAAAGAACAAUGUAUUGAUUUGUUAGUCGACCAUCCUUUCUUUGAAGAAGUGCAUAAUAUUUGUGUAGCACUAUAGGACUUCUUUCUGUUAGGAUUAUGAUUCCUACUAAAGACAAUAACCUUCAUAUUGAAUAAUCGGAAUUACAACU
rnacentral:lncRNA from 1 species